GUGGUAGUGAUUCAGUGGUAGAAUUCUUGCCUUCUAUGUGGGAGACCUGAGUUCAGUUCCCAGCUGAUGCA
rnacentral:tRNA from 1 species